GGGAAGUUGGCUCAGUGGUAGAGUGCUUGCCUUGCAUGCAUGAGGCCCUGGGUUCGAUUCCCAGUACCA
rnacentral:tRNA from 1 species